GAUGAAGAACGCAGCGAAAUGCGAUAAGUAAUGUGAAUUGCAGAAUUCAGUGAAUCAUCGAAUCUUUGAACGCACCUUGCACCCUUUGGCAUUCCGAAGGGUAUGCUCGUUUGAGUGUCAUUGUACUCUCACACUUCCGAUCUUUGGAUUGGGAGCGGUGGACUUGGGUGUUGCUGCUUACUGUGGCUCACCUCAAAUCGAUUCGUGCACCUCUUGGUUGGACAUAGUACGGCGUGAUAAGUGUCUUCGCCGGCACCUCAGUAGAGGGUGGCUGAUCGGGAGCUCUGCUUCAAACCGUCCUCGGACAACAACUGACAACUUGAACUCAAAUCGAGUAGGACUACCCGCUGAACUUAAGCAUAUCAAUAAGCGGAGGA
rnacentral:misc_RNA from 1 species